rnacentral:snRNA from 1 species
AGAUCACUUGAGCCCAGGAGCUGGAGAUUGUAGUGAGCUGAGAUCACACCACUGCACUCCACCCUGAGCAACAGCA